AACCUUUACAAUGCACGAAAGUGUGAUAAGGGGAUCCCAAGUGCUUUGCUUUUAGCAAAGCUUUUGUUAUGUGUAAAUAGCAUGACGAAUAAGUGGUGGGUAAGACUUGUGCCAGCCGCCGCGGUAACACCAGCGCCACAAGUGGCAACCGCUUUUAUUGGGCCUAAAGCGUCCGUAGCCUGUUCAGUAAAUUUCCUGUGAAAUCGUUGGGCUUAACUUAACGUCGUGCAGGAAAGACUACUAAACUAGGGACCGGGAGGCGUCAGAGGUAUUCUUGAGGGAGCGGUAAAAUGCUAUAAUCUCAGGAGGACCACCUGUGGCGAAAGCGUCUGACGAGAACGGAUCCGACGGUGAGGGACGAAAGCCAGGGGAGCAAACCGG
rnacentral:rRNA from 1 species